GGCGAUUGUAUAUUGUUCACAUCUCCAAGAAUUCCCAAGAUCCUCCUCCAUAACACAGAAGCAGAAUCGGGAUGCCAACCAAUGAGGCUUCCACCAGCAAUUAUACUGCAGUCAUCAGCAAGGAAUUCACUGCUGUCUGUUAAAUUUGCAUUAUCUGAAGGACUAAGCUGAAGCCAGCGAGGUGCAUCAGGAUCCACACAGACAUCUGUUGACGCAUUAACUUCCUGAUCUUCUUCAGAGGCUUGCCAGGGGAUGAGAGCAAUCUCUACUUCAUUAUUAUACCCAAUGGAUGUGUCACUGCUAACACUUUCACUUUUUUCUCUCUCCCUAUGGCUUCCAUGUGUUUGCUGCAAGUCUGCUUUCAAAUCCAAUUCAG
rnacentral:lncRNA from 1 species